rnacentral:rRNA from 1 species
UGCCUACGGGAGGCAGCAGUGGGGAAUAUUGCACAAUGGGGGAAACCCUGAUGCAGCGACGCCGCGUGAGUGAAGAAGUAAUUCGUUAUGUAAAGCUCUAUCAGCAGGGAAGAAAAUGACGGUACCUGAGUAAGAAGCCCCGGCUAACUACGAGCCAGCAGCCUCGGUAAUACGUAGGGGGCAAGCGUUAUCCGGAUUUACUGGGUGUAAAGGGAGUGUAGACGGCAGUGCAAGUCUGGAGUGCAAGGCGUGGGCUCAACCCC